GUCAAUAACGCGGUGUCUAACUCGCUAUUAGUGAUAAGCUGCUGUGUAGCUUAGCUUAGCUUAUAGCUAAUGUUAAAGGUUUGAAAGAUAGCACUGUCAGCCUGUUAUAUCGAAUUAGUACACCCGAUUGUUUUGUUAAAUAUAUGUAUUGGUGUGUAUGUAUAUGUUAAUGAAAAAAGGUAGCGUCAGAAAAUCUGUUUUUUAAAUGUAGCGUGAAAGUUAACCAUUUAUUGACUGUUUAGAGGUUGUAAGGCUUUUACCUAACUGUAUUUAGUAUUAAUGAUGCUGCAUUCUUUCCUCAGAAGCUAAAGUUUUUCAAAGACAUUUGUAGGGAGGACUUUGCAGCUAAUGAUUUCCUUAGGCUGAACCAAAACCUGCCAGACUAAAGUUGAUUUGGGAGAGAAAGACGUUGUAAACUCAAUCAUCUUGACAUUCUUCAAUGAGUAAUUGUUCAAUUUUUAGGCAAAUACUGUACACUUUGAAUGCUGUGAAUAAAACUAUAUUUUAAAUAUAUUUAAAAUGAA